rfam:Triticum aestivum genome assembly, contig: Triticum_aestivum_CS42_TGACv1_scaffold_558113_7AL
GCCACUUAGUGAUUUUCUCGAGGAACCGUUGAUUCACACAAUUGGUCAUUGCACUUGGUUGAAAAGCCAUUGGCGUGAAGCUACCGUGUGCCCGAUAAUGACUGAACGCCUCUAAGUCAGAAUCCAAGC